CUGCCCCACGCAUGCGUAGUUGGAAGGAAGGCAGUGGAUUUGGCAGACUGACGAGCUGUGGGUGUGAGGAAAGAAUAGGUCAAUUCCCCUUUCGUCAAAUAUAGCUAUAUAUUUAUAUUUAGCGCCUGUUUCCAGCGCCUUUCGCUCUCACCUCGUUUUGUUUGCGUCGGAAGCGCAAAAUCUGCAAGGCUUAUUGUAUUGUUUGAGAGGAGCCUGUGUCAUAUUUGCAGGUGGUACUGCCAGCAUCUUUGGAUUUAGGCUUCCUGAGCAAGUAAUUUGAACCACUUGAUGCUAUAUGGUUGCAUCUUGUUCAGAUUGUGGCCCUUUAGCAGUUAAUGACAUACUGCUGAAGAGCUAAUCGAGCUUUGGAUUUCUUCAAUGAGGAACUAUAGGCUGAUCUUCUGCCACAAUCUUAAGCAGCCAUAAAUUACCAAAAAGUCUGUGCUUAUUGAGGUUACCUGUCAGUGGUAGAGUUUUAAAACUAUUGCUUACGGUCUUGAGUAGUGUAUAAAUACACAUCUCUGUGCGCUUGCUCGGCUGUCCGAUGAUGCCGCACUAAGGAACUUCUCCAAACUGGAAAAUCUGUGCAUCGGUCUACACAAAAGGCAGCUGUAAUUUCUGGCCUAAAAGAUAUGAGGAAAAGUUCUUAUCCUUCCUUGGAAAACUGCAAUAUUAUUGCUAACAAGAUAUUUGGAAUUUCACUUGCUGAGCUACAACAGGAAGGGCAGCCAGAUCAUGAAGUCCCCUUCAUAGUUCGUCAUAUUGUGAACUAUAUUGAAGUACAUGGAGGCCUUGAGCAAGAAGGACUGUUCCAAGUAAAUGGAAAUGCAGAGACCGUAGAAUGGCUCAGGCAAAGGUACGACAAUGGAGAAGAAGUGGACCUGGUCAAAGAAGCAGAUGUGCCAUCUGCUAUUAGUUUGCUUAGAUAUUUUCUUCAAGAACUUCCACAGCCCAUAAUUCUACAUAGCCUUCAUCAUCGCUUUAUGCAGCUUUCUCAAGAUUUUGAUAAUGAAAAUGAGUUUUCCAGGAAAUUGCAAUACCUAUUGCAGCAGCUACCAUCCAUUAAUUACAGCUUGCUCAAGUUUCUCUGCAGAUUUCUAGCUAACGUAGCAUCAAAUCAUGAAGAAAUGUGGCCAACAACUGCUUUGGCCGCUGUUUUUGGUCCAGAUCUUUUUCAUAUUUACUCUGAUGAUGAUAUGAAGGAACAAGAGAUAGUGACCAAAAUAAUGACUGGGCUUCUGGAACGGUAUUGUGAUUAUUUUGAAACAGAAGAGGAAUUUUCUUCAAACAAUAUCAGUUCUAUAACUGAGCAGAAUAAUGAUUUACAAAAAGAUUUUAAGGAAGAAAAUGCAGAGGUCACGUCUGAAGAAUGCUUUGAAGUGAUUGAAGAACCCAGUGUAAUCAAGGUGGAUAUUUCCGAAGACCUUUUGGAGUUAAAUGAUGUCAUUGCUUCCACAAGCCAAGAUAUCUCGGUGGAUAAUGCCAAUAUUGAAAGUGAUGAUACGGAAUACUCAGAGCCUUUGAGUAGCUCCUUCUCUGAAUAUCAAGAUACUGAAAAUAGUGUUUUUUCUAAUCUGGCACAGGAACAAACACAGGUGUCUGAUAUUUUAUUGGAAAUAACUGAUGAGCAAACAAAUGAUGAUGGUGUUACAGAUAAAGACUUUUUUAUUGAAAGUGACAGACUCGAUAAAACCAAUGAUGACUACUAUAGACCUCAUUCUCCAGCUAUGGAUUCCAGUAAUUGUGAUUACAAUGCAAACCUUGAAUUUGAGACGUUGCAAGCAGGUGUCUCCGCUAAACAUGAAGCCAUGAGCAUUCAUCAUCUACAGCUAAGAAAUAUUUCCAGUGAUGAUCUGGAAGAACCAUUCCCUGAUUUCAAAUCUUGGCAGCAAGACUUAGAAUAUGGAGAAGCCCAGCUCUCACCUCAGGCUGGAAGAAUGAAUUAUUAUGUAGAAGAAGACACCACUCCGGUGCGAUCACAUCGUUCGUUGGAUUUUGGACAGAGUCAGCGCUUUUUGCAUAAUCCAGAGUCAGACUGCGCAUCUAUGACAUUUUAUAUUAGGACAAGAAAAGCUUCAUUCAUUGCCAGAGAUGAGAAACGAGAAGACAAAACACCAUAUCAGCUAGUUAAAAAAUUGCACAAGAAAAUCCGCCAAUAUGAAGAACAGUUUGAAACUGAGAAAAGUAUCAAGCCAACAUAUAAUGAUAUUGCUGGCAAUCCAAGGGUUCUUAAGUGGAUGACAGACCUUACCAAAUUGAAAAGGCAAAUAAAAGAUGCAAAGCACAAAAACCUGGAUGAUGAGUUUUUACCUCAAAUACGUCCUCGCAGCAACACGCUUCCAAAAAGUUUUGGAUCGUCUCUUGAACAUGAGGAGCAGGAUGAAACAAAAGCAGACAAGAAGCCUAGUCAAGAAGCAACUCUUGAACUUAUUCUUAAGAGAUUACAAGAAAACAGAAGUGAAAAGGGCCUUCCAGAGAAAAUUAAUAUGAAAAUGACAAAAGACAACCUUGCAGAGGAAAAGACUUCUCUCCAGAAGAGUCUGCUUUAUUAUGAAAGUUUACAUGGGCGUCCGGUAACAAGGGAAGAAAGACAAAUCGUGAAACCGCUUUAUGAUCGCUACCGUCUUGUGAAGCAGAUGCUGGCACGAGCAACUAUUACUCCGAUUCUUGGCUCACCCUCUUUAAAACGUCGAGCUCAGAUCUUGCCACCGAUCAUAGAAGGCGAAACAUCUAAUUUUUUUGAUGACAUAAAGCAGGAGGAAGAGGAUGAAAAUAGCAGCCUGUUCUCAGACAGUGGUGACAACACAUGUAUCACGGAGCAGAAACAGGAUGAAACUCCCUUCGUGAAACAUCAAGUAAAAGUGUCAAGAGACAGAUUAUCAAGUUCUAGGACUACUUCUAUACACAGACACAGGAGCUGAAAGCAGGGAGCGUGUGAUGUCACGCCGGGGGGCGGGGCAAGGAACCAGGAAGGAGCGGAGCACAGAAGAGCACACAUGGAAUCAGGACAGAAUUGCUGGAGCAACUCUGGAAAACGAAAGCAGAAAAAAAGAAACUGCGUCAGUCUUUACGGGAGUUUGAAGAGGAAUUCCAUCAGCAGAAUGGAAGGAAUGUGCAGAAAGAUGACCGAGCCCCAAUGUUGGAAGUAUACAGAGAGUACAAGAAAGUUAAAGCCAAACUGAGACUUUUGGAAGUUCUAAUCAGCAAGCAAGAUUAUGCAAAAUCUUAUUGACGGCCAUGUUCCAUAAAGCUCUUAUUGGAAUUCUAUUUCAACCCAAGUGUAUGCACUUUUUAUAUUUCCACUCACAGAAUGUCAUUACUAGGAAUGAACACUUUGUAUGCACCCAGUGAGUCCCAACCCGUCGCUCACAGAUCCUUUUUCUAACUUCUUUCUUACAGUUUUUGCUCAAAAUGCAUUGUUUUCAAUGUUUGGUUUUUUCCAGUUUGGAAGAAGCUUUUUGUGGAAGGAUUCAGUUUCAUAAAGAAAACAUGUUUGGAAAACCCUAGACUUCUGUGUAGGAAUCCAUAUUAGAGUAUAUAUGUUAUGCAACGUAUAGAUGUUGUCUUUUAUUGAUAGCGGAAAUUCCAUGCUACCUGCCCAUGCUGAAAACCAUAAUCUUAAUAUCUGUUUGUGCUACGAUAUCCGUAAUUGUUCUUAAGGGGGACUAUAUUGAAAAACAACAAUUUUAAUAUGCGUGCAAUCUCAUGGAAAUAAUGAACUUUCUAAAUAUAAUAAUAUUAUUAUAUAAUUUCUGAAAUUAUCCAGUUUUGCUUCAGUAUUUUCCCUCUCUGCAGUUGCUUUUCAUUCAGCUUAGGGUAAAUCAGUUAUUUUGAAAUUUCUAUUAUCUGGAAUUCUUAGGACCUGGGGUUUUCCAGAUAAGAGAUCUUUUCUUAAUUUGGAUUUUUAUACCCUUAAAUCUGCUGAAUAUCGUUUAGAAAUCCAUCCCAAUACGGGAAAUGGCCUUCCCGUAAUUCAGAACUUUUUGGAUAAGGGAUCCCAUACCUGUAGUUGAUUCUAAUAGAGGCAAAGGCAAUGCACGACAAUGUAUUGGACCUGACACAAAUCUGCACAAAGGCAGACAGAUUGCUGAGAGGGGGGUUAAUUAGGGUUAAUGGAAUUACGGGAUUAUUUCAGAAACAGUACAGAAUAUUGAAUUGAUUUUAUUUAGAAAGUUAUUUCCAUGAGAUGAAGCUCAUAUGAAAUUUUCAAUUUCACAGAAGUUCCCCUUUAAUCUCCACGAUCAUAGCAGUUAAGCUACAGACUACAUAUCUAACUCCACAAUCAUUCUCUUCUACUUGGUUCAUUGUAAGAAGCAAUGGUGGGAAGCAUGUAUCAGUCAAAGGCAUGGAACAGGGGGACAGUUUAUUAUUCCUCCCCUACAUUCAAAGUGACUGAACGUUGUAUGAAAUGACUUGGACUUUUUAUUUGUGUGUAUGAGAUUUCAGUACCGGAUUCAACUAUUUCUGUUUAAUAGGCAAUCCAUGUUAUAGGUGGAAUAGGCAGAGGGAUAACACUAGCCAACAUUUAGCAUUGUUGCUAUCAGCUUGAAGCUUUGGGCCAGUGAAUAUUUUCUCUGUCAUUCUGCUGCAGUACAUUCUAUCAUUGUACCAUGAAGCAGUGUUGUUUAGGCAGGCAGCGGCCCCUGCGAGCAGCUUUCUCUCCUCUCACUCUCGCACACUGUACUUCAGCCGUUCUGUAUCACAGCAAGGUGCAAAGGAACCUUAUUUUUUCAGGCCUGGACUGGGAAUCAAAAUAGGCCCUGGCAUUUCAAGUACACAGAGGCCCAAACUGCCCCCACAGGGCCCUGUACAUAGUGUCGGUCUAUGGCAUCUUACAGCAGCCCCUCUGCCAUUUGCCAGAACCCACAGAUUGCCAGUCCGGGCCUGUCUAUAGUGUGUGCAGUUCCUAUCAUUGAGCUUUGCAAUAUCAUCACCUCACAUCCAAGUGUAACAUUCCUACAGACACAAACAGAAGGUUUCAGCACGGGCGGCCAGCUGCCAUCUUGCAUAUCCUGCUAAUGCUUGCUUGUAUUAUUCUCUUGCUCUUCCCCAUGCUCAUUUAUUUCUAUAGCUUACCCUUUGUUCAGCUGCUUUAUUCUACACUUGUACUGAUUUCAAAACCUUUUUUUUUUUUUUUUUAGAGGAAACAUUUUUUUUUAUCACCAAUAAUUUCAAAUGUCUUGGCUUUGAAUCUAUCUAUUUUAAGUUUCUAUUCUAGCACAAUUGGAUAUUUUGUGUUGUAUUUGUAAGUUUGUUUUUCUGUAUGCAAUAUUUGCAUCCUAUAGAAAGCACUUAAUGUAGUUGGUCACUGGCGGAGACUACUUUAUUGCAGACAAAUAGAAACUGUCCUGUCUCUUUCUAAUAUUUCUCUAGUACCAAAAGCCAUAACAAUGUAUUUAUACAUCAUUUAACUGAAUAACAAGUCAUACAGAGAGGCUGAGAACAGAUCCUUCCUUCUGACAUCACAGGUCAAAUUGAGUGGUCAGGAAAUGUCCAAAAUUAAUAUUUUUUCCUAUGUGAAAAAUCUUUAGGGUUGCCAUAGAUUAAAAGAUUAGCUCAUUUGGUGAGCCCACCUCAAGGGGAGCAUAUCAGGGAAAGAUCCACUCAUUCAGUGGCACCGGUGAGCAGAUCUCCCCCCAAUAUGCCCACCUUGAUUGGAUCAUAAUUGCUGAUAUGCAGGCCAUUGGACUGAGGGCUGCAUCAAUGCACAGAUCCAGUCCCGACAGGAAAACCAAACCUGCAUGAUGAAUUUGCUCCCAAAUAUCAGGCAGUCAGUUCCUGCUGGAGGGUCCCCUACAUGGGCCGAUAAGCUGCCGACUUUCUGUAUGGCCAUCAGGUACUUAACCCCAAAAGACUGAAGCCUGUUAAUACUUGUGGGGCUGCAAUACCUUUCCAAACACCCUAUUUCUGUUUUCUCUAGAUUAAAACAUUAAAAGAUUUUGAGUUUUACUUCUUUUUAUAUAAAAAUGUGUCGCCGUAAGGUUUGUUAUUCUGUGAAAUGAGAGUAAAUUGGUCAGGAGUCUGACUCUCCAAUAAAUGUAGUUGCUACCUGUGUAUAUUUUUAAUGUUAUUUUUCCAUAACAUACAUGGCAGGUAUUGAUAUAUUUGGCUUUCUUUAUAUAUUUUUAAUAUAUUCCUCAGUUUACGUUUGUUGUUUUCCCUCCAGCCCUAGUCAGUGUGCACUGCCGAAGGUUCCUAUGGAUAUUACGUGUGCUUGUUGCUUAUAGACCCUGUGCCUGUUCCCUCCUAUAUUAGACAAGCAUGGCAGACCUUGUGAGAGUCCUGACUGUGAUGCAAUGCAUCCGCUGCAAAUGUAUAUAUUUCAUAUGAUCUAUUUUUGUUGGAUUCGCUGUUACUGUGCAGAGCUAAAUAGGUAUCUGUAAUUGCAUCCGAUGUGCAGCUAUUUCCCUCUCAUUUGUAAUAAAACCAUUUUAACCUUC